CAAAUUUCUCUAUUUAAUCAUUUCUGUGUUCUUUCUAUUUCUCAUUCUAGGGUGCAGACGAGACCUUGGUCCAGUACAUUUGAACAGUGGACGAAAGAUGAAUCUUGUGAGGAAUCAGCUUGAAGAAAAAUUCAUUGUCUGUGACAUGGAUUGGGAAUAAGCCGUUUGAAGUGCAAGAUCGAUUAUUUAUGUUAAAGAAAGUCACAACAAGAAAGGCUUCAAUUUCAUUUACGAAAGAAAACAUUUAGGAAGAGCUGAUGAAGCAUGAAUAGCAGACGGACAACUCAUUGUCGCGUGCUUUCGGACAACAGGACUACAGCCAAUGAAACGUUUGACAUCCAAGCCAUCAGAAUCAUGCAUGCGUAAAUACUUAAAGAAAUAGUACGUUUCUAUUUUCUGUUUUCUUGCAAAAGUUUGAAGCAAUUAGGCAACGUGUAAUUUGUACAAAAAAAAAGGAGAAGGGGUAACAAAAGAAAAGUACUUAAAGCCAUAAAGAGCUAAAAAAGCUUAAAGAGUAUCAAAGUACAAGCUGUCUGACCACUAUUUUACAUAUGUUGAAUGUCGCUGGUGUCUAUCUGAAAGACGUGGAUCGUUUGGUCCUGGCUCUGAAUACAGAUGUGAUGGAGUUCCAGAUUGUGGAAGAGUUUGUGAUCCUAACUUCAUGAGUGUUUUUAUUAGGCUUCUGUAUGCUUACAUAUGGUUUUGUGUGGAAUCCUUGGGUGUUCUGUAGUUGCUGAAUCAGGAAGUUUAGGUGUGGCAGUUAUGUUAGCUUCUUCCAUGCUACAUCUUUGGGUGAUUUAUUUCUCUGAUGCACCCAUUCUACGGCUGUGCUGUGAAACUGGACAGGCAUGGGUUGAUGGCGUUUACUGUUUACCCGCUUUCAUUGUUAAGGUUCCACUCAGGGCAUGGCUCAG